UUUAGCCUCCAGAACUCCCAAAACAGUGAUGAAUGCCAAUAAUAUGGACAAAGCUACCAUUUACACACUUUCCACAUGACAGGCAUCCUUGCUUCCUGCACUUAUCUGUCAGGACACUGACUGAAGAUACUGGUACCAGAAUUACCUUGGGAGACAAUGGCAUACUGCACUUAGCCCUUUGUGUUGUGGCUAUCAAUUGAAACUUCUUACUUUCUCCCCCUAGGUUGUAAAUUCUUUAAGGAAAGCACUGAGUCUCAUCUACAUCCCCAGACCCUAUCACAGAGCUUGGCAUAUAGUAGAUCAAUGUCCAGCACCAGAAUUAAUCAACAUGUGUUUGUACAACGAAUGAAUUCUUGGCUCUUUGCCUUUACAAUUUUCUCUUUCUUUUCCUUUAUCAUAGAACUAAACAAAUCCCUGGUAAAACUAAAUGACUAAUUUCAUCCUCUGUCACUUGGAGUUUAAGAAACCUAGUUCACCAGUUCAGCUAUUAAGUCAGCCUUAGAACUCAUAUGUCAUGGGUCUCUUUCUUACUACUAAUAAAAAAAAAUAGUAGACGCUGUUAUCAAUAGAUACCUAGAAUUCAGUUCUUUUUUUAUUUCAGAAACACAUACGCUCUAUUCUCAGAUCCAGUCCUUCAGAUGGGGCUCACACCCCCUCUCUUAUCUCCAAGAUAAACCCAAAGUCCAGGUAUAAACAAUGAGUUUAUGACCUCCAUGACCAAAAUAAUUACUUAGUUCAUGGGAUAAUUCAUCACCCACUUUUCUAGUCAGUGGUAGAACUUGUGUUCAUCUGGUGAGGAUAAAUAAUCUUUUCCACGUGGAACAUUAAGCAAGGUCAAUUUAAACCUGUAGCUACUAGUAGCCAUCUUGCUAUAGCAAGAGAAUAACCUACCAAAGAAAGAAGCCAUGCCAUGAGAUGUAGAGAAAAACAUUCUUGACAACAUAAUUGACAGACUACUACUAUAUAAAUAUUCAUCCAAGCUUGAUACAAGUUUGCUGCUGGACUUUCAGCUAUAUGAUCCAUUAAACUGAGCCUCCUUCUAUUUGAAAGAUAUGUGUGUAUGUAUAUGAUCUGACCAGCACCUUGAGCAUGCAGAAGGCCCAUCCCCAUGUUUAUUGGGUACUUGCUUCUUUCUUCAGGUCUUGAUCUCCAAGUGUGGGAUUAUGCCACUGAAAAUAGGGUCCUAGAAUAGCUAUUUGGCUAUACAGUGGAAAUAGCCAGUGGCUUUCAGAUAAGGAUAUAGAGGCAUUGCCUAAUAGUUGACAGCAUUUUGAAUGUGGUAAACUGUGUUCCAUCUCACUUUGAGUACUCAGGAGCUACAUACUCUUAGGAAGAUAUAAACAUAAAAAUAAGAU